CACUGGGUGGGGUGGGAAAGAAUGUGUCUGCCGAAGGAGCAGGGAGGCCUCGGCUUUCGUGACUUGCAUGCUUUUAACAUUGCAAUGCUAUCACGACAGGUCUGGCGGCUAAUCCAGUGUCCGGAGUCCCUGUGUGGACGAGUCCUACAAGCUAAAUACUUCCCACACGGCGAGGUACUGAAUUCUGUAGCAACACCAAGGAUGAGCUAUGUUUGGCGUAGUCUGCUCCAAGGUAUUUGUGUCAUUAAGGCUGGCAUGAUUUGGAGGGUUGGCACAGGUGAUAUGAUCAAAUAUUUGACGGGAUCCAUGGCUGCCCUCAAAUGA
rnacentral:rRNA from 1 species